rnacentral:lncRNA from 9 species
AUGAGAAGGCUGAGGUCCAAAGUGGAAAAGCAGCAUAGCCAAGGUCACUCAGCGUUCCAACAGGGACCCUGGCCUGCUGGAGCCCAGUCAGCCUAUUGCCCUCCCCUCCCUUCUUCCCAAACUCUCCCCUUUCCUCGGUUGGUCCAAUUACCCGCAUUUGUGCUGAGCCCUCCUCUGCGCUCAGACAAAGGAGCAGCUGCCUCUGUGGGCCUGAUGCCCCUCUGUGGCCUCUUUCCAGGUCCUCCUCCCCAGCCGGAGUGUCACCAAAUCGGACUUUACCCCCGUGACCCACCCUCACGGGAGUGAGUUCCUGCCUGUGAUGGCCAGAGGCUCUGAGCGGGAGACGGGCUUCAGCCGAGGGAAUGAGAGGACUCUGAACCCCAGAGUGCCCCCACCCAGUGGCCCAGAACCCAGCAGCAUGAGCCACCGACAGUUCCAGCCCCCGAAGCGGGUGCAACAGACAAACGUGGCCCUGCUUGGCCGGGAGACUGUGGGGAACAAGGUAAGGCC